rnacentral:lncRNA from 1 species
UUAAAACAGCUCCAGCAAGUAGUUGGCAUGCAAAAAAUAAAACUACUAAAAAGAAUUAAAUUAGCAGCAGAAUACGAUAUAUUUUGUCUUAAUUCAAUAUUUGAAGAGACAACUAAAUGUAAUAAUUAAAAGAUAAUUUUAUCAUUUAUAUGUAUAUAUAGAGACAUUAAAAAAAGUCAGCAUUCUUGACAAUAAAUAUCAAUCUUAACAUAUUUAUAUCUUUCCAUAAUUU